rnacentral:rRNA from 1 species
UACGUAGGGGGCAAGCGUUGUCCGGAUUUAUUGGGCGUAAAGAGCGUGUAGGCGGCUUUACAGGUCGGGUGUGAAAACUCGAGGCUCAACCUCGAGACGCCGGUGGAAACCGUAAAGCUAGAGUCCGGAAGAGGAGAGUGGAAUUCCUGGUGUAGCGGUGAAAUGCGCAGAUAUCAGGAAGAACACCUGAGGCGAAGGCGGGUUACUAGGCUGGCACUGAAGGUGAGUGCGCGAAAGCCAGGGGAGCAAACGGG